CAGUACAAAUCAUUGAAGUGAGCGGUGUGCGAGUGGCCGCCUUGUUUACACCAGCCAAAUACGCCUCAGUCAAUUCCAGCUAUUGUUAGAAAUAUGCUUGUUUGCUCUCAGUAAUCAAUUGGCGGCUCACUUACGUAUAUUGCUCAUAAUGAAUCAGUUUAAUACGUUACAAAGAGGAACAUUCCAAGUGUGUUGACUACACUAACCCCUCCUUUCUCAAGGAGUUCGGGCUACCUUAAGACAAUUACAAGAAAACAACUCUACUUGAGAUCAAUUUUAUUUGGCUCAAAACUACAAGGUUACUUCCCCGGUCGGGCUGCUUCAAAUUUUGAGCAAGAUGAUUCCUACUGCUGCUUCAAGAUAUUAUUAUAGAGCUCGGAUUCGAAACAUCUACUUUUUUAUUUUUAUUAUAUAGGAAGGCAAUACACCUAUAACUUGACAAUUUCUUUUUACAUUUUAGUCUUGACAAACUAAACCGCAUACUUUUAAAUAUACCUAUGGCAAUAAUAUGUAAAGGACUUUAUUACUACUUUUGCAAUUCAUUCAGUAUGUGUUUUUUGUUUCUUUUUAAUGUACUGGUAAGUGUGCAAUAAAGUAUAAGGCUCUAGAUAAGGGCAUAACGAUCUGUAAAAACGUUUCUUAGUGAACUGCCAUUUAUACAAAGAUACGAGAAAUUAAAUUACCUUUGGUUCAACAUAAGAUUUAUUUAAUCAUUAAGAAUUCAUCCAAAACUAACAUCUAGUGUUUUUAGAAAUAUCUUAUGGUUAAUGGGAUUGAACCUAAAUAAGCAGACCCUUAAUUAAAUCCAAAUUGCAAACAGACAAAGAAUAAAUAUUAUUACAUAGCCAUUUAUAAUAUAAUGCAUACAGUAAUACUGAAAUAUUAAUUUUGUUAUCAUUAUACGUCUACAGAUUGAAGAAAUAUAUUUUUAUUGAAUGUAUAUUACGAGUAUAUUUGCUUACUCCAUCAUAAUAAUAUUUCGGAUUUAUUUAAUAAUCAACGAUUCCAACCGUGAUAUUUGUGGCUUUUAGUUGCGCUACAAUAUAAUGUAAGCUUUUGAAUGAUGAAGAAUUAUAAACUCGAGUUUAAUAGUUUUAGUCUUUAUUAAUCCAUAAAAGAAUUAUAAUAAAAAAAGGUGUGUGUCAACUCCGACACGAGACAAGAGUUUACUCCUGAAAAACGAUUAUCUGCAGUAGAUUUUCGUACCGAUACAGUAAGUGCAGCUAAAAGUGCUGUAAAACGUCAAUCUGAGCGUCAAUCAAGCGUCAGCGUGAGUUUAACCUUCUGCGUUCACGUUAUUUGAAAUUACUAAUUUCUAAUAAGUAAGUAGUCAAUGGCAUUAAAUAUAUGUAUAAUUAUUAUCGACUAAUUUAAAACUAACUGUGAGAUCAUCACUCGUACUAAAAAUAUAUACAAAACUUCAUUUACUGCCAAAAAUAAAUUACAUAUACGUUUCAAUCCUUAGAAAGAUACAUAUGUGUAAAGUUGUAAGCCCAGUUUGAUUAAAUAUAAGGGGUGAAAUACAGGUUAUAAAUUUACAACAAAUCGUAAUACCUUGAAUCCUUUCAUCAUUAUUUAUGUACAAACAAUAACUCAUGCAUAAAAAAUCAUGUAUGCAUAAGAUUAGGUUGCAGAUAACCCGGUUUGAAAUAUUCGUCAAGUAUAUCUUCAUAAGAACCAACGUAAUAGCAAGACUACAGUAAAUUAUUAGAACAGAAACGUUUUAGAGUGCGGGCUCAAAGUCGUCGGUUUGCGGACGCAAGAAAGUUGUGAAUUUCAUCACAAAGGACAAAGGAUUUGCGCCGCGGGGCAUUUGCUCAGCGCAGGUAUUUGUUCGCGCCUAAUUAAACAUGAAACAAUGGCGCAGGUGUAUCAAGCUGCGAGUGAUAGGGCCGCCCGUUUAUACUAUUGCUGUCUAUCCGAAUCUACUGUUCUUGUGAUAUACGAGUUUAUUCUACCGAGUAAUAAAGUAGUGAAGUAAAACAAUUAUAAAAAAGCAACUGUAGUUAA
rnacentral:misc_RNA from 1 species